AUAAGCUACGAAGAGCGAAUGGUGGAUGCCUUGGGUAAUAGAGGCGAUGAAGGACGCACUAGACUGCGAUAAGCUACGGGGAGCUGUCAAGAAGUUUUGAGCCGUAGAUUUCCGAAUGGGGCAACCCAGCGUGUAGAGAUACACGCUACCAUAAUGGAGCGAACGAGGGGAAUUGAAACAUCUUAGUACCCUCAGGAAAAGAAAUCAAAAGAGAUUGCGCUAGUAGCGGCGAGCGAAAGCGCAAGAGGGCAAACCUAGUGCUUGCACUAGGGGUUGUAGGACUGCAUCGUGCAAUAAAUGAGGUUAGCAGAAUGUUCUGGAAAGGACAAUCCAAGAGGGUGAUAAUCCCGUAUGCGAAAACCGAAUUUUAGCUAGCAGUAUCCUGAGUAGGGCGGAACACGAGAAAUUUUGUCUGAAGCUGGGGAGACCACUCUCCAACCCUAAAUACUACUAUUACACCGAUAGUGCACAAGUACCGUGAGGGAAAGGUGAAAAGAACGGCGGUGAGCCGAGUGAAAUAGAACCUGAAACCAUUUGCUUACAAUCAUUCAGAGCACCAUAGCGCAAGCUGGUGUGAUGGACUGCCUUUUGCAUAAUGAGCCUGCGAGUUGUGGUGUCUGGCAAGGUUAAGGAAACCCGAAGCCGUAGCGAAAGCAAGUCUGAAUAGGGCGAUUAAGUCAGAUGCUGCAGACCCGAAACGAAGUGAUCUAUCCACGAGCAGGUUGAAGCUAGUGUAAGAGCUAGUGGAGGACCGAACCAAUAGGCGUUGAAAAGCCCCUGGAUGACUUGUGGAUAGGGGUGAAAGGCCAAUCAAACUUCGUGAUAGCUGGUUCUCUCCGAAAUAUAUUUAGGUAUAGCGUUGUGAAGUAAUUAAAGGGGGUAGAGCACUGAAUGGGCUAGGGCAUACACCAAUGUACCAAACCCUAUCAAACUCCGAAUACUUAGUAUGUAAUCACAGCAGUCAGGCGGCGAGUGAUAAAAUCCGUCGUCAAGAGGGGAACAACCCAGACUAACAGCUAAGGUCCCAAAAUCUCAUUUAAGUGGAAAACGAUGUGAAGUUACUUAAACAACCAGGAGGUUGGCUUAGAAGCAGCCAUCCUUUAAAGAAAGCGUAAUAGCUCACUGGUCUAGUGAUUUUGCGCGGAAAAUAUAACGGGGCUAAAAUGAGUACCGAAGCUGUAGGCUUGGCUUUGCCAAGCGGUAGGAGAGCGUUCUAUUUGCGUUGAAGCUAUAUCGGCAAGAAGUGGUGGAGCGAAUAGAAGUGAGCAUGCAGGCAUGAGUAGCGAUAAAAGGGGUGAGAAUCCCCUUCGCCGUAAACCCAAGGUUUCCUACGCGAUGCUCGUCAUCGUAGGGUUAGUCGGGUCCUAAGCAAAGUCCGAAAGGGGUAUGCGAUGGAAAAUAGGUUAAUAUUCCUAUACCAACAUUGAUGUGCGAUGGAAGGACGCUUAGAGCUAGGGGGGCUAGCGGAUGGUAGUGCUAGUCUAAGGUUGUAGGUGCUUACACAGGCAAAUCCGUGUAAGAACACACCGAGAGCUGAAAGGCUUUUUGAAGUCUUCGGAUGGAUAGAAGAACCCCUGAUGCUGUCGAGCCAAGAAAAGUUUCUAAGUUUAGUCAAUGUUGCCCGUACCGUAAACCGACACAGGUGGGUGGGAUGAGUAUUCUAAGGCGCGUGGAAGAACUCUCUUUAAGGAACUCUGCAAAAUAGCACCGUAUCUUCGGUAUAAGGUGUGCCUAACUUUGUUAGUGGAUUUACUCCACAAAGCAUUGAAGGUUACAACAAAGAGUCCCUCCCGACUGUUUACCAUAAACACAGCACUCUGCUAACUCGUAAGAGGAUGUAUAGGGUGUGACGCCUGCCCGGUGCUCGAAGGUUAAUUGAUGGGGUUAGCAUUAGCGAAGCUCUUGAUCGAAGCCCGAGUAAACGGCGGCCGUAACUAUAACGGUCCUAAGGUAGCGAAAUUCCUUGUCGGUUAAAUACCGACCUGCAUGAAUGGCGUAACGAGAUGGGAGCUGUCUCAAAGAGGGAUCCAGUGAAAUUGUAGUGGAGGUGAAAAUUCCUCCUACCCGCGGCAAGACGGAGAGACCCCGUGGACCUUUACUAUAGCUUGACACUGCUACUUGGAUAAGAAUGUGCAGGAUAGGUGGGAGGCUUUGAGGCUAGGACGCCAGUUCUAGUGGAGCCAUUGUUGAGAUACCACUCUUUCUUAUUUGGGUAGCUAACUAGCUUGCGUUAUCCGCAAGUAGGACAAUGUCUGGUGGGUAGUUUGACUGGGGCGGUCGCCUCCCAAAAUGUAACGGAGGCUUACAAAGGUUGGCUCAUUGCGGUUGGAAAUCGCAAGUUGUGUAUAAAGGCAUAAGCCAGCUUAACUGCGAGGCAUACAGGCCAAGCAGGGACGAAAGUCGGUCUUAGUGAUCCGGUGGUUCUGUGUGGAAGGGCCAUCGCUCAAAGGAUAAAAGGUACCCCGGGGAUAACAGGCUGAUCUCCCCCAAGAGCUCACAUCGACGGGGAGGUUUGGCACCUCGAUGUCGGCUCAUCGCAUCCUGGGGCUGGAGCAGGUCCCAAGGGUAUGGCUGUUCGCCAUUUAAAGCGGUACGCGAGCUGGGUUCAGAACGUCGUGAGACAGUUCGGUCCCUAUCUGCCGUGGGCG
rnacentral:rRNA from 1 species